AGAUUGAAACUCUAAAAAAAAAAAAAAUCGGAGAUGGCGAUUCCCGUCCACUCGUUCCUCUCGGAUUUGAUCUGGUGUUGGGUCCAUGUGAUUUCCGAUGACUUCCGAGUACAAAUCGGUCAGAUUGUAAUACUGAAACAAUACCCGACAAACAUGUUCUUAUUUUUAUAUGCAUGGCAAAUAUGGAUCAAGUCUUUAUUUAGGUGAACAUUAUCAAAUGUGAGAAGGAUAUAUUCUAAAAGAGCAGAUGAAUCACCAAACUAAAAAGUCAGAGCAGAUGAAUCACCAAUGUCAAAAGUCAGUGUAUUUACAAUCAAGAUUCAAACUCGUUUUAAAGAGCUGGAAAGGCAUUUAUAAUAUAGACCAUGAUGAUUCAAAGUCAAUAAUAAGGAGAUAAGUCGAACUUUUUAUAAUAUAUUCUUUUAGUAGUUGGGUCAAGUUGCUAACUUUUGAUGAAACAUCCUCUAUGUUGUUAUGCUUAUGGUUCUUAGUUUUGAUUGUAGGAUUUAAAAAACAUAAUCAUCGUAUAGUAAACUGACAUCAACAUCUAUUUGGAGAAGAUCAGAACGCGUAUACACUCCUAUUAUUAA